rnacentral:misc_RNA from 1 species
UUUCCGUAGGUGAACCUGCGGAAGGAUCAUUAUUGUAUAACCGAGGUGCGAGGCCUGUGGCUGACCUGAUAGGUCGUGCACGCCCGAGUUCCCUCACACACAUCCAUCUCACCCCUAUGUGCACCACCGCAUAGGUCCCCCUGUUGCAUGUUGUGAGGGGGCCUUACGUUUUCAAACAGACUUUGUAUGGAGUGUAGAAUGUAUUUUUUGUGUUUGCUAUCGGGCAAUCAAUACAACUUUCAACAACGGAUCUCUUGGCUCUC